CAAAAAUUGGAUCAAGAAAAAUAUAAUAUUCUUAUAAAACCUAAUAAUAAAAACAGACCAUGGUAAAGAAGCAAACACAGGCUGGACAUGGUGGCUCAUGCCUGUAAUCCCAGCACUUUGGGAGGCCGAGGGGGGUGGAUCACAAGGUCAGGAGAUCGAGACCAUCCUGGCUAACACGGUGAAACCCUGUCUCUACUAAAAAUACAAAAAAUUAGAUGGACGUGGUGGCAGGCGCCUGUAGUCCUAGCUACUUGGGAGGCUGAGGCAGGAGAAUGGCGUGAACCCCGGAGGCAGAGGUUGCAGUGAGCCCAGAUUGUGCCACUGCACUCCAGCCUGGG
rnacentral:lncRNA from 1 species